GACGAACGCUGGCGGCGUGCUUAACACAUGCAAGUCGAACGGAAAGGCCUUUUCGGAGGUACUCGAGUGGCGAACGGGUGAGUAACACGUGGGUGAUCUGCCCUGCACUCUGGGAUAAGCCUGGGAAACUGGGUCUAAUACCGGAUAGGACCGCACUUUAGUGUGUGUGGUGGAAAGUUUUUUCGGUGUAGGAUGAGCCCGCGGCCUAUCAGCUUGUUGGUGGGGUAAUGGCCUACCAAGGCGGCGACGGGUAGCCGGACUGAGAGGUUGGUCGGCCACAUUGGGACUGAGAUACGGCCCAGACUCCUACGGGAGGCAGCAGGGGGGGAUAUUGCACAAUGGGCGCAAGCCUGAUGCAGCGACGCCGCGUGGGGGAUGACGGCCUUCGGGUUGUAAACUCCUUUCGCCAGGGACGAAGCGUUUUGUGACGGUACCUGGAGAAGAAGCACCGGCUAACUACGUG
rnacentral:rRNA from 1 species